rnacentral:rRNA from 1 species
CGAAAGCCUGACGGAGCAAUACCGCGUGAGGGAGGAAGGCUCUUGGGUUGUAAACCUCUUUUCUCAAGGAAUAAGUACUGAAGGUACUUGAGGAAUCAGCAUCGGCUAACUCCGUGCCAGCAGCCGCGGUAAUACGGAGGAUGCAAGCGUUAUCCGGAAUGAUUGGGCGUAAAGGGUCCGCAGGUGGCAAUGUGUGUCUGCUGUCAAAGAAUGAGGCUUAACCUCAUCAAGGCAGUGGAAACUACAUAGCUAGAGUACGGUCGGGGUAGAAGGAAUUCCUGGUGUAGCGGUGAAAUGCGUAGAGAUCAGGAAGAACACCGGUGGCGAAAGCGUUCUGCUAGACCUGUACUGACACUGAGGGACGAAAGCUAGGGGAGCG